AGCUUUGCACAGUGGCAGUAUCAUAGCCAAUGAGGUUUAUCCGAGGCGCGAUUAUUGCUAAUAGAAAAUUCAUAUUUCCAGUGGCCCUUUUAACUGGUAUUGUGGAGCUGGGAGAAAAAUCAAGAAAAUAAUGGUCAUUUACCUAAA